GUCACACUCAGGGAGAGCAUGGAAGCUCCGCACCCCUUCCCCUAUACCUCGCCUAUCCAUCUCUUCAUCUGUAUCCUUUGUAACAUCCUUUAUGGUAAACCUAAGGGUUUCCCCGAGUUCUGCGAGCCACCCUAGCAAAUUAAUAAAGAGGGGGUCUUUAUCAAUUUAUAGCUGGUUGUCAGAAGUUCCCGAGGCCUGUACUAGUGAGUGAUGUCUGAAGGUCAGGGGUGGUCUUGGGGGACUAAGCCCCCAACCCCUGGGAUCUGACGCUGUCUCCAGGUAGAGAGUGUCAGAACUUAACUGGAGGACCCCCAGUUCAUGCCGGUGUCCAUGUCUGGGCAGUUUGCUCGGUGGUGGGGAGAAAUCCCCACACAUUUGGUCGUAGAAGCCUUCUGUGUUGAUUGUUGUGGCGCGGCGUGAGAACAGAAGAACUGUUGGAGUUUUUUCACCCUCAGAGAGUGUUCUCACUUCUGGCUCCACUUCCUCCCAAGGUGUCUGGGGCACGAGUUCUGCCGGAUGGCAGCGUAACUGGCUUUGGUGUUGAUUUAUGAGUCACCACUGGGGUGAGAUGAGGGAGGCAGACUCAAGUACGUGAUUACAGGGCACCAAGAGACCACCUGCCCAACAGAUCUUCACUCAUUGCCUUACCAAACCUGAAAUUACCUUAGCAAAAGCAAGUAAAUGUGGCCACUCUAGGGCCCCGACCUGGAUUCCUAGCCAGACCAGCCACUGGUGCUCUCUAUCUGAUGCAGCCAGGUUGGUCUCUCUCAACCUCCCCAAACAUGCCCAUGCCUUCCUGCUCCUCUCUACCUGGGCAUGGGCUAUGCCCACCUCCAGGAGGUCCACCAUGAAGGCGUGAGCCCAGUAAUAUGGAAAUGUCUGUUAUCAGGGCCUUUAGGGUAUCCUGUGAUGGUGGGAAGGGGAUGCUAGCACGGGGCCAGGAACAGCAGGAGGUUUGAGGCUGCAUUGGAGAAGGACAGAGCUGGGCUCUUGAAUCCUAAGGCUUUCAUCUCAGGCAUGAAUCUGGUGACAUCAGGACAUUCUCCAGAGCCCAUUGGUACAGGCAGAUUAGGGCAGGUUUGAGAGAUUCUAGAAUCAGGUAGAUAGUACAUUUUGGCAUGUCUAGAUAAUUGAGCUUAGAAAUCAAGCAAUCCAGCCCCUCACUUUACAGUUAAGGAAAUGGAGGUUCAGAGAGAUUCUGAGCUCUUCCCCAUCUUACAUCUGGAAGAGGCCAGGCCAGGGCUCAGAUCCAGGGCCUUUCAUGAAGCAGCCAGGGCCACAUGCCUGGAUCACAGCUGGAAAGCUAUGCCCUAGCAGGGCUGCUGUUUGCAGCUGUUCAGGCCUUGCCUUGCUUUUUAUAGACUGAAGUAUGAGCAACACUGCCUGGGGGUGAGCAGUGCACACACUGCACCACUGUCCGGGGAGGCUCUGAGUCAGAGUCAAAGCAAAGGCCUGAGAGCUCCCAUCAGAGAGGUCCCAUCUCUUGGGCUGGGCUGGGUAUGUGGUGAAAAUGGAGGCAGGAGGGUGACUCGGAACCUGGACAGCAGUGAUGGGUCCCCAUCCAUGGACACUGGAAUUUAGGGUGGAAGACUGGCAUUUGGAAAGGCAGGCUGACUUCGCUGGACUGACAGCUGGACAGAGAGCUGGCUCGGCCUUCCUUGGUGUGGGAACUGCCUGGGAGACUCAGCAUAAAGGAGCAGAGGUGGAUCGCUCCUGCAGGCAUGUGGUUCCCAAAACAGAAAAGGGGACAGUUGCACAUCGCUGAGGAGGCCUCACAAUCAUGGUGGAAG
rnacentral:lncRNA from 1 species